GACGUGAUUCUGGAUAAGGGUGUCAAUGACUCUAAUGUUGUUGUUGCCUUUAGACGCCCAAGGCCCGAAUGGUUAUCGCAGCAAUCGUUUGUCAUUCAGGUCUACAUUCUGUCUGAUUGUAUAUUGGCUUCUUAAUUGAUCCUUCUGUCUGAAAUUGAAUAUAUAUGCUGCAGUGCUAUAGCAUAAACAUGGUAUAGUGUUUUAAAUUGUUGCUAAGCAAUUUAUACUCCAUUGAUCUUGUUAAUAGUACUCAUUUCUCAUUUUCAUUGGUACUCUAAUUCUUGCACCAAAUCUUGCAUCAAUUAGGGAUUCUUCAACUGAACUUCUCUUUCAUUGUAUCACCAAAUACUGAAGUUUUGCUAUGUGUUUUUGUCUAUAUAGAAUUGCAUUCAUUCCCUAUUCUUUCAGUAGUUACAUGGCUUGAGGUCUCUGUAUUCUUUUGAAUAGGAUGUAUUGUUCUAUGCAGAAGACCUGAUUUGCACAAACAUAGUUAUCUGCAUGUGCUUCCUGACUUGGUAUUUGUUAUAUCUUGUUGGUUGAAUGUAUGGUGGUGCCAGUACAGUGGUAGUAUAUUAAGGUUGGUGUGUUGCUGAGGUUAAUCCCUUCGGAAACAUUCUUUGAGAAUUUUGUAAUUGGGUGUUGAUAUUGCGCAAGUUCUAUUGUAUGUGAGUUCUUUUUGUUGCUGCAAAGCAUUGAUACAAUAUGUCAUUUGCAGGGAGCUUGCUUUGCAUCCGAGUCUCAGUCAUCCUGCACAGCAAGGAGCCGGACCUAGGGAGCAAGCAAUGCUGCUAGUUCCUUGAGACAUGUGCAUGUGUGGAGUAAUUUUGCUUAGAGUACUUAACAAGAUUGAACUGUACAUGUGUGGAGUAAUUUUGCUUGGAGUAUUUAACAAGAUUCAAUAAGAUUUAACUUACUU
rnacentral:lncRNA from 1 species